UACAGGGGGUGCAAACGUUGCUCGGAAUUAUUGGGCGUAAAGAGCUCGUAGGCGGUCUGUCGCGUCUGCCGUGAAAACCCGAGGCUUAACCUCGUGGCUUGCGGUGGAUACGGGCAGACUAGAGGUAGGCAGGGGAGAAUGGAAUUCCCGGUGUAGCGGUGAAAUGCGCAGAUAUCGGGAGGAACACCGGUGGCGAAGGCGGUUCUCUGGGCCUUACCUGACGCUGAGGAGCGAAAGCGUGGGGAGCGAACAGG
rnacentral:rRNA from 1 species